GACGAACGCUGGCGGCGUGCCUAACACAUGCAAGUCGAACGGAAAGGCGAUGAUCUUGCGGGGCGCACGAGAGGCGAACGGGUGAGAAACACGCGAGUAAACCGCACCUGAAUGUGGGGUAAAAUCAGGAAAAAGGGGAUAAUAUAGGAUAGAAGAUCUUGAUGCACGGUGGGGGAUGGAAAGAUUCGGCGGUUUGGGAUGGACUAGCGGCUUAUCAGCUUGUUGGUGGGGUAGUGGCUGACAAAGGCUAUGACGGGUAGCCGGCCUGAGAGCGUGAACGGCCACAUGGGUACUGCGGUACGGCCCAGACUCCUACGGGAGGCAGCGGUGGGGAAUAUUGCGCAAUGGGCGGAAGCCUGAUGCAGCGGCCCCGCGUUCGUGAUGACGUCCUUCUGGUUAUAAACCGCUUUCUCCUGUGACGAAGCGUUAUUGACGGUAAUGGGUAAAAAAGCACCGGCUAACUACGUG
rnacentral:rRNA from 1 species